UACAGAGGAGCCAAGCGUUGUCCGGAUUGACUGGGCGUAAAGCGCACGCAGGCGGAUGCGCGCGUGGGGUGUGAAAUCUGGCCGCUUAACGGCCAGGCGCCAUCCCAUACGGCGCGACUGGAGCGAUGCAGAGGUCGGUGGAAUUGCCGGUGUAGUGGUGAAAUGCGUAGAUAUCGGUAGGAACACCAGUGGCGAAGGCGGUCUCCUGGGGCAUUCUUGACGCUGAGGCGCGAAAGCUGGGGGAGCAAACGGG
rnacentral:rRNA from 1 species